UCUAUACAUACAGUGUUACGCAGGUUAUACUGAGCAGUAGCUAAUACAUAAAAUGUUUAUAAAAUUGGUUGGGUAUUGAAAGAAAAUAAGUGAAUUUAAUUACUGCCAUCUUGAAUUAUAAUUGAUUGAAACCUAAUGUGUAUAGUAAAACUCGCUUAAGACGUUCCUGCGUAACACGUUUUGCCGUUUAUUAAGUUCAAAAAAUUAUUCCCUUGAUCACUUCCAUAUAUCCCUAUGUUAAUAUUUCCCUUUCAUAACGUUUGUCUUUAUAUAUGCUUCCUGCAUAUAACGUUCAGUAUUUGUGGGAAAAAAAUAAAAUAACGUUUAUCUUUAAGCUUUUAAACAUUUUUUAAGGUUAAUUUUAAAAAUUUACAUAUUUCCAAAUGUUUAAUACCAUAUUGGUCCAAAUAUAAGGCGAGCAUUUUUACUUAAACGAGAGAUGUGAAGUCGCCUUAUUUUCGCACCCAACACGUCAGCACCGCAAACAUUAGUUCCAAGCUGAAAGCUACAGUAGAAACAUUGUUAAACAAAAUGUUCACGAUUUUUUAUAUUAACUAAAACAUUGUUUCCUCACACAAGAAAAAUGAUAAAUCCACCCAAUAUUGCAGUAAUUCACUGUUGUUUAAAGUUGAAAAUUAAAAUAUUUGUUCUUGAGUAAAAAUGUGAAUGUUGAAGCAUCUCAAAAUGGCAACCUUUUAUUUCACAAUUCAUAUUUGUACUUGUUCGUGUACAAUCCCGUGUUAACAUUUAUGGUAAUUUAAUUUCAGAUUUUUACCAGAAAUAUUUGUACUAAAGAGUCACAGCUAUUUUCAGAACGAUUGUUUACGUUUACAAACAGAAAAUGUUAAGAACCUUUCGGAUGUAAUGUUUGGAAAUUCACGGCUGCCAACUGUUUUUCCACAAUAUUUCUUUGUUGUAAAACGAACAUUGCCGAACACGUACGAAGACACCAUAUUUACAGGAAUUUGGUACGUUGCUUCAAAAGCUAUUUUAAUAAUUGCACAGUAAUCCACUCUUUAUUUAUGUAAAAACCUUUCAAACAACAUAUUUAUCAUAGAUUAUUCUUUUAAAUUCAUAGGACAGAGAGACUGUCAGAGAAUAAUAUGGACAAAUAUUUGCGGUCACAUCACCAAAGUUAUUCAUGGCCGUAUGCUUCACCAUGGCAGCUAGCCACUUGUUUUGUUCCGGCAAGCUGCAUUCUUUGUUUGCUUUGUUACGUUUAACACACUACUAAAUAGUAAUACGUAGCUUAAGUGAAACGGGAAGUUAAAUGCAGUAUACAUAAAUGCAAGAAGUAUUUAUCAACACAAAAUGUAUGUCUAAUGAAUUUUCAUAUUAAUUUCUACCAAAAUUAUUUUUACAUUUGUUUGGCCUCCUGAAACUGCAGGUUGCCUUAUAUUCGGGCCAAUACGGUAGUUAAUUUAAACAGAACAAAACCGUCAAAAAACCUGCGCGGCACGCCACACGCUGUUCUAUCUGUGCGCCGUUUCCCCCAUUCGAGUGACGAAUGAGAAACGCGCACGAUCGUCGAAACCUGCGCCGCAUGCCACAUGCUGUUACUUGUGUGUAUUUCAACGAAUCAUAUGCCUGCGUUUGUUUGGACUGAGAGGCUGUUCCACCUGCAGACCAUUUUCCCCAUUCGUGGCUUAACUGACGAAUGAGAAACGGCAACGAUCUUCGAAACCUGUGCCGCAUGCCGCACGACCAAUCAUCUGCUUGCAUUCUCAGGGACUAGAGGCUGUUCCAUCAGUACACCAAUUUUCCAAUUCAAGUCACAUGACGAAAACUAAGUUUACCAUAUACAGCUAGUGAUGGGUAGUGGAAAGUUUCCAGUCGGAAAUUUCCUGCCGAAAACUUUCAAAAAUUGAAAAUUUACAGACCUCAUGGAAACUUUGAAAAAAAGUGGAAACAUUGGGAAACAUUGAAUUUUUUUUAGCUGUAAUUCAAUAUUCUUACAUUUGUUAUGCAAUCAUUGCAGAUUUAAUAAGAGCUUAGUUAGCAUAUUAAUUUAUCCACAUCAACCAUAUCAGUAAAGAGUAUAAUAUUCUCCCUCAAUGCUUUUAUUAUGGGAAACCAUGCUGGUAAAAUUUCUGUUAAAAUUUUCUUGUGUGUUUACCUUGUAAUUUUGUGCGAGACAAAUGUGGGAUUGAAUUUCACUUUUGGGUACUUCAAACUUUAUAUCAAUUUCAAAUCACACACUAGUUCUCAUGUUUCCACUCUUCUUCCAGGAAGAUAAGAUAAAGUGCUUUGAGCAUUUGCCAUAUAUGGUAUAUUGUUUCUGUUCUCACACUUCUAGUCUUCUCCCAACUAAACCCAUUUUGUACAUAUUACUGCUAAACAGUCAGUCCUGUUGUGCUUGCUACACGAGACGCAUUGUGCUAGUAUAGCUGGUUUUGAGGUUGAAUUUUAUAAGUGUUAUCUGGUUAAUGAAAAAUGGGCAAGAUUAAAGGUGAUAUUUGGAGUUAUUUUUCCGAAAAAUCAGUUCAAGGAAAAAUCAAAGUGUUCUGUGUAUUUUGUGAUGUGUGAUACUUCAGAAACAGUACAAGAAUGGUAAGGCACAUAAAAAAGUGUCCAAAAUGUCCUUUGACUAUCAAAUCCAAGUUUCUGGGAAGUGAAAAACAAGAAAAAUAACUUUCAAAUGGAACUACAUGUCCCGAAGUGUGCAAUACUGCUGGUCCAAGUUCAUCAGUAAACUUAAGUGAAAAUAUGGCUCAGAUUUACAGUUAAACACAAAAUUCACCAUCAUCUUUACAACUUGCAGUCUCAAGUGCUUCAGAAUGUGCAGGAACUAGUGCCAGUACUAAUACAACUAGGCCAAUAUGGUCUAACUCACACAGUGUAAAUUCAACAAUGUUUUCUUUUCUCGACCAUAUGACUCCAACAGCUAAGGACAAAGCCAAUGAGUUGCUGGCUAAAGCUAUCUAUGUUAGUGGAGCACCUUUAUCAAUGGUUGAGCAUCCACUGUGGCAAGAAUUCUUUAAGUUAAUUCGCCCUGCGUACAGUCUGCCAACACGAAAACUCAAAAUAGAAUUAAAGGAAUAAUAGCUGAUGCAAGAAACCUUGCUCUGCAGUGCGAUGGCUGGAGCAAUCUGAGGUAAGGCAGAAUUCACAGAACCAAAAAACCUAUCUAAAGAAAAAUUAAUGUAACCAUGAUCUUGAGAAUUAACAUAUUUUCCUUGACUCAAUGUCUACUUAAUCAGAGAAAUCUGUGUAUAUUACAAAGCUAAUAGUCACUUUCAGUCUUUAAUCAAGUUUUUAACCAACUAUUAACACAUUUAACUUUGUUUUAUAAAAGGCACCAACUUGUUUAUAAAAAUCUGCACUUUCUGUUUUUGUCUAAAGCAGUAAAGAUUCAAAAUUGAGAAUUUUAAAAUUUUGGUUACAUAAGAUAUUCACUUUUAUAAGUCUUCUUACAAUAUGUCCAAAUCAGUGUGCCAUGCCACACACAAAGUACAUUAUUGUAGCAUGUUAUGAACUUUAUAAGAAGGUGUUGCAGUAGUGUAUCAAACCAUGCCACAAAUAACCAAACCUCACAAUAAAACUGUUUUAUAGUAAAAAAAAAACCUCUUGCAAAAAUUGAAUUAAGGACAAAAAUUAUGUUAAAGAAAA